rnacentral:rRNA from 1 species
AUUGAACGCUGGCGGCAGGCCUAACACAUGCAAGUCGAGCGAGCGGCGGACGGGUGGGUAAUGUAUGGGCACCUGCCUGAUGGAGGGGUAUAACUACUGGAAACGGUAGCCAAUACCGCCUACCAUGAGAUGAACCGAUAUGGGAUUAGCUAGUGGGUGGGGUAACGGCUCACCUAGGCGACGAUCCCUAGCUGGUCUGAGAGGAUGAACAGCCACACUGGGACUGAGACACGGCCCAGACUCCUACGGGAGGCAGCAGUGGGGAAGAUUGGACAAUGGGCGCAAGCCUGAUCCAGCCAUGCCGCGUGUGUGAAGAAGGCCUUCGGGUUGUAAAGUACUUUCGGUAGGGAAGCGGUACCUACAGAAGAAGCACCGGCUAACUCCGUGCCAGCAGCCGCGGUAAUUC